rnacentral:rRNA from 1 species
GCACAAGCAGUGGAGUAUGUGCUUUACUUUGACCCAACGGGAAGAACCUUACCGGAACUUGACACCCCGCAAAGGGGCUUGGAAUGAGCCGGAUACCUUUCCGGGAAUGGGGUGCCAGGUGGUGCAUGGUUGUCGUCAGCUCGUGUCGUGAGAUGUUGGGUUAAGUCCCGCAACGAGCGCAACCCUUACGGUUAGUUGCUACGAAAGAGCACUCUAGCCGGACUGCCGUUGACAAAACGGAGGAAG